AUGUUUCUGGCCCAAACAAAGUGCUAGCGGAAGAGGAGCGAAAGCACACGGAUAACACCAGCUAUGGUUCGUACUUGCUGUGCGGUCGGUUGUAAUGUUAGAUCGCACGACCGGCAAGGGAAUAAGCUUGAAAUGGUUUAUCUUUUCAUUCUUUCCCCACCUGGAAGCAACAUGAGGCAGCUCGUGUAUCAGAUGUUACCAAAAGAAGACGUCUAGUCUGGAUAGCAGCUGUGAGACGAGCUGAUAUCCAGCUCUCUUCCAUCUCCAAAUAUCUGUUGGUGCUCCAGACAUUUUCAUUCCGGCAAACCAGCCUAUGAAAUGGAUGAAACACAUCGUGACUGGGUUCCAGCGCUACACAAGGGGCACUCCGAAAUCCCUGCUUCAAACAUACCGCCAUGCCAAUCAGAUUACUUCUUCCAUGUGAGGGUGAAGAUGUGACCCUUCUGGAUAAGAUGGUGAAGGUUUGCUGCGUGUUGGUGAACAGUGUGGUAGUAAAACCAGGGAAAAAUGAAA